ACCGUGGACGUGCUUGGUGGCAGGAGAUGCUUUGCUUCGAUGAAAUGCUCCGCCUCCAGGACAGGAGAAGACCUUGGUUUUGACCCUGAGGAAACAGCAAAACUUGGACCUUGAAGACAGGAGAUUGCCAUGACUAAUUUGGGGGCAGGCGGUGUGACUUUGAGUAUGUUACCUAACCUUGCUGAGCCACGUGGUACUGGUGAGGAUUCGGUGAGAUGACAACUGGUCACAGCAUGGCAGGCCUCCUGGCAUGUCCCUGACUCUCCUUCAACAGGAGCUUUCGAUAUAUUAGGGAGCAGGUAAGCCUCACCUUGAACAAAUCCAACUGAUGACACUUGUUUUUAUGCAGACAUAGCGGUUCCCCUGACCUUUGUGAUAGUGUGGGAUGACCAUGUGUGAUGGAGAAGGGCCCACGGCAGGUUUCUCUGGGUAUAGUUAGGCGGGACCAGAUGUACAUCCUGCUCUGCCCCCAGAAGCUGCAACUCGAGAGGGGCUUGGUGGCUCUGGGCCUCAUCUUGCCCAUCUGCAAAAUGGGAGCAAUGGCACUUCCCUCUCCAGGCUGUUGUGCCCCUUGGUGAGAUCACUUCGGGAUGUAGAGCCUUGUGAGCGCAGGCCUCCCAGAAGUCCAUCUUCCUCACCAACAAAUGACCCGGUUCCGGAGAAAGAUCUCGCCUUUGGUUGCAAGGGUCGGAUGGCAGUGGCAAUGAACCGGCUCGAUGUUUCACUGUCUUCACUGUCUGCCUCCCUCCCUGGACUGUGAGUCCUCCAAGGGCUGUUAGUGUGUUUGUGCACUCACAGUUGAACCCCAGAACCCAGGCAGGCCUGGCCCGUGGUGGGUAGGUGCCCAUUGUUUGUUUGUUGAAUGAGU
rnacentral:lncRNA from 1 species